rnacentral:rRNA from 1 species
UACGGGGGGGGCAAGCGUUGUUCGGAAUUACUGGGCGUAAAGGGCUCGUAGGCGGCCAACUAAGUCAGACGUGAAAUCCCUCGGCUUAACCGGGGAACUGCGUCUGAUACUGGAUGGCUAGAGUUUGGGAGAAGGAUGCGGAAUUCCAGGUGUAGCGGUGAAAUGCGUAGAUAUCUGGAGGAACACCGGUGGCGAAGGCGGCAUCCUGGACCAACACUGACGCUGAGGAGCGAAAGCCAGGGGAGCAAACGGG